GUGCCUAAUACAUGCAAGUCGAGCGAACAGACGAGGAGCUUGCUCCUCUGACGUUAGCGGCGGACGGGUGAGCAACACGUGGAUAACCUACCUAUAAGACUGGGAUAACUUCGGGAAACCGGAGCUAAUACCGGAUAAUAUAUUGAACCGCAUGGUUCAAUAGUGAAAGACGGUUUUGCUGUCACUUAUAGAUGGAUCCGCGCCGCAUUAGCUAGUUGGUAAGGUAACGGCUUACCAAGGCAACGAUGCGUAGCCGACCUGAGAGGGUGAUCGGCCACACUGGAACUGAGACACGGUCCAGACUCCUACGGGAGGCAGCAGUAGGGAAUCUUCCGCAAUGGGCGAAAGCCUGGCGGAGCAACGCCGCGUGAGUGAUGAAGGUCUUCGGAUCGUAAAACUCUGUUAUUAGGGAAGAACAAAUGUGUAAGUAACUAUGCACGUCUUGACGGUACCUAAUCAGAAAGCCACGGCUAACUACGUGCCAGCAGCCGCGGUAAUACGUAGGUGGCAAGCGUUAUCCGGAAUUAUUGGGCGUAAAGCGCGCGUAGGCGGUUUUUUAAGUCUGAUGUGAAAGCCCACGGCUCAACCGUGGAGGGUCAUUGGAAACUGGAAAACUUGAGUGCAGAAGAGGAAAGUGGAAUUCCAUGUGUAGCGGUGAAAUGCGCAGAGAUAUGGAGGAACACCAGUGGCGAAGGCGACUUUCUGGUCUGUAACUGACGCUGAUGUGCGAAAGCGUGGGGAUCAAACAGGAUUAGAUACCCUGGUAGUCCACGCCGUAAACGAUGAGUGCUAAGUGUUAGGGGGUUUCCGCCCCUUAGUGCUGCAGCUAACGCAUUAAGCACUCCGCCUGGGGAGUACGACCGCAAGGUUGAAACUCAGAGGAAUUGACGGGGACCCGCACAAGCGGUGGAGCAUGUGGUUUAAUUCGAAGCAACGCGAAGAGCCUUACCAAAUCUUGACAUCCU
rnacentral:rRNA from 1 species